AUACGGAGGAUCCGAGCGUUAUCCGGAUCUAUUGGGUUUAAAGGGUGCGCAGGCGGGAGAUUAAGUCGGCGGUGAAAUUUUGCAGCUCAACUGUAAAAGUGCCUUCGAAACUGGUUUCCUUGAGUGGAGAUGAAGUAGGCGGAAUUUGUGGUGUAGCGGUGAAAUGCAUAGAUAUCACGAGGAACUCCGAUUGCGCAGGCAGCUUACUAAACUACUACUGACGCUCAGGCACGAAGGCGUGGGGAUCAAACAGGAUUAGAUACCCUGGUAGUCCACGCAGUAAACGAUGAUUACUAGCUGUUUGCGAUACAAUGUAAGCGGCUGAGCGAAAGCGUUAAGUAAUCCACCUGGGGAGUACGUUCGCAAGAAUGAAACUCAAAUGAAUUGGCGGGG
rnacentral:rRNA from 1 species